rnacentral:snRNA from 1 species
UUGCUUCUCUUCGGCAGCACAUAUACUAAAAUUGGAAUGAUACAGAGAUUAUCAUGGCCCCUACACAAGGAUGUGAUGCAAAUUCGUGAUGUGUUCCAUAUUGUU